UGGGUGGGUUGAUAGGAAAGGGGAAGGAGGGGUUGUAAAAGCAGCCGCGGAGAACAGGCGGGCUCAGGUGGCCGAGCUCAUUCCCUAGCCUUUCUCCUUGGGACGUCACCAGGCCUUUGUCACCUUUGGGGACGCCUCGGUGAGAUGUUUGGCGUGACUUGAGAGAACAGCGUUCUCCAGCCUAGUGCCCUCCAGUUGGAUGGUUUUGUGAUGGCCUUGGACUCAGAACCAGAGGAGUCUCAGUCCGCACCGGAUCUUUUGCCUCAGACAUCAUCUGAACCAAGCCUGGGGCCUGAUUCUGAAGAGGCCCAGUCUGCACAGGUUCCUCUCUGCAACAAACACCAGCUGGGCCGAGUCAGGGGCCUGAGCCUGUCCUGGCUCCAGAUGCGGGGAAUACCUCGUUGCCUUCAGUUUACAGCUGCUCCACUACCAGGUUGGUCAGGAGGGGCUGAGGUGGCCCCUGGGUCUACCGACGUCUCCCGAGCUGCAGAGAUUAAGGUCUGAGAGAAGGAGAGUACUCGCAGGAGGAGUGCUCGCCUGCAGGCGAAACGGAGGUGAGUCGCCGGGGGAUCGGGACUGGCCGUUACCCAGACAAAGAUAAAAGGCUGUCGGACCCCGCCCAGGUUGCGGGAGCAACAUUGCAGUAUGCCAGAUCCUGCCUGUGAUCCUGCACCUGUCCUCAUCCGGUUUCUUGCCUUGGCCCUGUUGGACUGGCUCCUUGUGGAACCAUCAGCUUCUGGACUGGACCUGGACUGCGCUGCUUGGGUUACCCCCGGGACCAGCACAGGUUUGGAGAGCAAAUGGCAUCAGCCUGGUGGGAAUUAAUGGAAUUAUUAUUAUUAUUAUUAUUAUUAUUAUUAUUAUUCAUUUCAUACAGUACAUCUGGAGGGUGUCUGCUUUGGCUAGGCUGUGCCACAGCCAUCAUUCUUCAGGAGCAACACCUUAACGUCUUCCGAAUGUGCUGUACAUGGCAGGACAGUUUCAAACAAAGAUGCGCUCUCCCAAGCCCACAUUCCCAGCCCUUUAACAAUCCUAUCUCGGUGACGUCUACGCUGGCUUGGUCGUGACCACAGGAUGGAAGAUGGCAGGAUCCCCAAGGACGUGCUCUGGGGGGAGCUGGCUUCAGGCAAAAGGCCCGUUGGCAGACCAACUCCGUGUUACAAAGAUAUCUGCAAACAUGGCAUGAAGGUUGGCAACAUGGGGAGCCAUGUUCAAAUAUAUGAAAGGAUGUCAUAUGGAGGAGGGAGAAAGAUUGUUUUCUGCUGCUCCAGAGAAGCGGACACGGAGCAAUGGAUUCAAACUUCAAGAAAGAAGAUUCCACCUAAACAUUAGGAAGAACUUCCUGACAGUAAGAGCUGUUCGGCAGUGGAAUUUGCUACCAAGGAGUGUGGUGGAGUCUCCUUCUUUGGAGGUCUUUAAGCAGAGGCUUGACAGGCAUAUGUCAAGAAUGCUUUGAUGGUGUUUCCUGCUUGGCAGGGGGUUGGACUGGAUGACCCUUGUGGUCUCUUCCAACUCUAUGAUUCUUUGAUUCUAUGAACAUCAACCCUUGCAGACGACCGCAGCAUCUGGAGACAAACACUCAAGUCGUGCAGCCAUAGCCGUGACCAGAGGAGGAAUGACCGCUGGGAGAGGCACAGGGAGAAGAACCGCCCUGGUGCAUCUGCAGCAGCACAACCGGACGCCUUUGUCUGCCCUGGCUGCAACAAAACAUCUCUCUCCUGUAUCAAGUCUCUGCGGCCACAUAGGCCCUCCAAGUUUGAUUUCACACCCAAAUGCACCAGAAGCGAAUUUAAGUUCUGGGCCAAAGCACUUGGAAUUAAGAGAAGCCUGGCGGAAUUAAGGAAUCUCUACCUGCCCACAGACCCAGUGCACAACAUGGGUAAGGUGAUUUGUCGCUUUAUUUUAAGCAGGCCACAAUCUGCUGUUGUUAAGAGCAUGCAAACUUGUAGACCUGCACAGAAUUCUUGGUCGCACGUCGGCACAAAUGCCAGUGUUUCAGUUACCGCUUGGACUACUGCAAUGCGCUCUACGUGGGGCUACCUUUGAAGGUGACCCGGAAACUACAACUAACCCAGAAUGCGGCAGCUAGACUGGUGACUGGGAGCGGCUGCCAAGACCACAUAACACCGGUCUUGAAAGAUCUACAUUGGCUCCCAGUACAUUUCCGAGCACAAUUCAAAGUGUUGGUACUGACCUUUUAAAGCCCUAAAUGGCCUCGGUCCAGUAUACCUGAAGGAGCGUCUCCAUCUCCAUCAUUCUGCCCGGACACUGAGGUCCAGCACCGAGGGCCUUCUGGCAGUUCCCUCGUUGCGAGAAGCCAAGUUGCAGGGAACUAGGCAGAGGGCCUUCUCGGUGGUGGCGCCUGCCCUGUGGAACGCCCUCCCAACAGAUGUCAAAGAGGAAAACAACUACUGUACCAGACUUUUAGAAGACAUCUGAAGGCAGCCCUGUUCAGGGAGGCUUUUAAUGUUUAAUAGAUUACUGUGUUUUAUUUUUCUGCUGGAAGCCGCCCAGAGUGGCUGGGAAACCCAGCCAGAUGGGCGGGGUAUAAAUAAAUUAUUAUUAUUAUUAUUAUUAUUUUAUUUUAUUAUUACACAGGAUUCUUUGCAAUGCCCCGCCAUCUCUUGGUCAGAAGCCCAGGCAGGGCUGAGAAAAUUCCCAGUCCUGGCUAGAAUUUUGGUGCCAAAGAGAUCAUGGAAAGUCUACCCACCCCUGUAAAAAAAACAAAAAAGGGGUAGUUAGUGCUGUUUGUGCUGAAUGCCCCAGGCGCUCCUUUAAAUAAAUAAAAAAGAAUCAGGUAGCAUCAGGUGAUGUGAAAGACCCUGGAGAAUAAGGCUGCCAGUCAGAGCUGGCAGUAGUGGACAAUUGUCUGGCCAGGUAUAAUACGGCAGCUUCCUGUGUUCCUAAAAUUUAUACCUAAUGAAAAUUAAAGUUUUCUCUCCUGGGCUUGAACUGACAUGUGUAAGGCAUGAGAAAUAGAUAGAACAAACACCCGUGUGUGUGUGUGUGUCAAAGAGGCAAACCACAGACCUGGCACUUGCUGCUGCCUCCCUGUGACUGUGUUGUUUGAUGGGGAGGCAGCCGUGGGGGCGACAACCGCCUGCUUUGUAUAGGAAAUUCUUAUAUCCUUCUUGUGCCUGACACUACCGUCCCUGUCCCCCCCAGUGCAAACAUCCUUCAACUUUGCAAGAAGCAAAGAUAAGAGCUCCCUUGGCGAAGGCAGCUGCAAUGAGAAGUGGGAGAUCGCAGCGUGUCUCUCCGUUGCAACACAAGCUCAGCAUCCUCCUGGCUUGCAAGGGAGGAGUGUGGACCUGACCCUCUCAAAUGCUGGCCCAUCCCCUUGUCCCCUUUCUCCUUGCAGGCUCUCGACAUUUUCAAAUAAAAUAAUAAUAAUGCUCAGUUCAUAGGUAUGUCUGUUGUCUUACUCCUUUUUUUAAAAAAAAGAAAAAGGAAGAAUAUUUUUAAGGUGCAAAAUUGCUUUGGGUGUUUGGGGGGGCAACAUCCACGGGCUACCCAAUCAGUGUGGGAUGGAACACUGGGGCAGACAAGUCACAACAGUUCCUAGAGUGUCCACUAAGAGGAACUCACCUGGAGGGACACCUGACUAAGCUCAGUUCCUGUUUCCAGAUAUGCAGAUGAGAUGGAUUAGCUGGCAGACAAAAGCCCCUAGCCAGCAGCCAUUCUCUCUCUUAGCCAUUUCUCCUUCAAUGGGAACAUAUCUCCAGAGAAUCUCCAGUUAGGAUGGUUCUCCCUCUCGGCCUGCUGCCAAGAGAGAGACCAGAUGGAGCCUCACUUUACUAAGUAGACUCCAGAUGUAUAUAUUUGUAACUUUUCUAUGUAAGCCUGCCUUUCUGAGAUUACGCUGUUAACUCAGGAUGUCAUCCCGACUCCGAUUGCUGCACCGAGUGAAUCAAACUUAAGAAUACAUGCAAAAUAGAGCAAGUGGAACAAUGACUUCUCUUUUGUUUGGCUUGAAGAAAUCCUUGGAGUUCAACAGAGCUCUUUCUCAGCAAGGAUUUGGGGGCGGGGCGGGGCGGGUUUGAUUCAAUUCACAUUUAAAGGUCAACUCACCUCAUCUGAUUUUCUGAACUUGUUGGGAGCCGCCCAGAGUGGCUGGGGAAGCCCAGCCAGAUGGGCAGGGUAUAAAUAUAUUAUUAUUAUUAUUAUUAUUAUUAUUAUUAUUAUUAUUAAAGAUCCAAAACAAAUUAUGCCAGAUUUUACAAGAGAAUGGGAAGAUUAGUGGCAAUUAUCUCAGAGAGUCAAGAGGCAGAAUUAUUUCCGAGUGAAUAUGUCCUAGUAGUUCAACCUUUCCCAAAGUAACAUAUCUGAACUUCUUGGAGAAGGAGGAACUGCAACUAUUUGCUGUUUCUGUCGGAAGAACCUGUCUCAAACCAAAAGUUAAGAAGUUCUUUCUUAACAAUGUACGCUGCUAGAAUUUUAUUUCACUUUUUUGAAAGGGGCUGGAGUAGGCCCACAAGUGAUUAUUUAUAUGGAAUGAGUAGUUCCUAAACGAAAAGUGUCAGUCAUAUGCUCUAAAUCUGAAAAGGGGAACAUUUCUACACCUGUAGCUUCUCCAACAUUUAAAAAAGAGCGAAACCUCCUGAAAUACGCUCCUUUCCACCAUUAUAACAUUGCAGGGCUUCCUUUAUUAAAGAAACAGGGACCUUAUUAAUUCUUUUAAAUAAUGUGAGCAAGACAGGGUGUACUCCCUCCUGAAUAACUCCCCCCUUACAUAAAUAGGGGGUUCCCUCAUAUUUGUGUAAUCCCCACCGCCGCCCCAGAUAUCUGCAUUUUCACCCCACAUUAUAACAUUUCUCAGAAUUUGGUAAUCUGAUGCUGUAUGUGAACGGGCUUGGAGGAGCCAGUUCCCAAGGUCAACAGACAGCCUGAGGGGAGUCCAAAUAGGCACAGACAGAAAAGCAAACCACAAGAAUUAGAAGCAAAUUCUGCGCAGUCCAGCAAACCUUGACAUGGAAUGAGAAAACAAGUACAGUAUUUUUAAAAAUACUGUUCAACAGCAUUACAAAGCAGGUUGAGUGCACACCAUACAUUUAAGGCACACACAAACACACCUCAAAAAUCCUGGGAACUGUAGUUACAGGUAGGUAGCCGUGUUGGUCUGAGUCGAAGCAAAAUAAAAAAAAUCAUCCAGUAGCACCUUAAAGACCAACUAAGUUUUUAUUUUGGUAUGAGCUUUCGUGUGCAUGCACACUUCUUCAGAUACACUUGAAACAGAAG